AACUACUGCUUGGAACUAAUCUUAAGGGAAACCCGAAAGACCCCCUGAAGACCAGCUUUACCCAUCCCUCUUCAGGUGAUGAGGUAUUUGUCAUAAUGGAUGCGUGCCACAUGCUCAAGCUCGCACGCAAUAUGCUUGAGUCAUACCGGACUAUCAAGAGUGGCAGUGGCAGGAUCGAGUGGAAGCACAUUGUUGAGCUCCACAAUGUGC